rnacentral:pre_miRNA from 1 species
UUUUUGGUAUAAGUAUGUCCCAUGCCAUAUUUUGGGAUAUACUUAUACUACAA